AUACGGAGGGUGCGAGCGUUAAUCGGAAUUACUGGGCGUAAAGCGUGCGUAGGCGGUUUGCUAAGUCAGAUGUGAAAGCCCUGGGAUUAACCUGGGAACUGCAUUUGAUACUGGCAGACUAGAGUAUGAUAGAGGGGGGUAGAAUUCCUGGUGUAGCGGUGAAAUGCGUAGAUAUCAGGAGGAAUACCAGUGGCGAAGGCGGCCCCCUGGAUCAAUACUGACGCUGAGGUACGAAAGCGUGGGGAGCGAACAGGAUUAGAAACCCCAGUAGUCC
rnacentral:rRNA from 1 species